ensembl:lncRNA
GUGUAGGUGAGGUUAUCUAUCUGGAGAUCUCUGCCUGCCUGAGGCCUUUUGAAGGACUAGGUAUUGUAGAUAAACUCAAGACCAGAUCUACUACGAUGAUAUACAGGCUACAGAAAGGCCUUCUGUGGAACUUAAACCAACUCUAAAUCACAGAAUGGCUGAGAUUGGAAGGAACCUGUGGAGGUAAUCUGGUCCAACCACCCCAGUCAAACCUAGAGCAAGCUGCAGAGGACCAUGUCCAGAUGACAUCUUAAUAUCUCCAAGGAUGGAGACUCUACAACCUCUCUUAGCAACCUGUGCCAGGGCUCAGACAUCUUCACAGUUAAAAAAAAUAAAAAAAAAAAUCUCCCAUGUUUCAGCUUCUGCCUAUUGCCUCUUGUCCUAUCCCUGAGUAUUACUGAAAAAAGAGCCUGGUUCAAUCCUCUUUGUUCCCCUUUUUCAGAUGUAAGAUCCUCUCAAGCCUUCUUUCCUCUAGGCUGGAUUGUCCCAGCUCUCUCAGCUGCUCCUCAUAGGAAUCAAACAAUCAUUAAGGUUUGAAAAGAUCUUUAAGAUUAAGCCCAACAUCAACCUAUCACUAUUAUGCCCACCAAAUCGUGUCCCCAAGUACUGUAUCUACAUAUUUCUUGAAAAUCUCUGGGGCGGUGACUCCCCUACUUCCCUGGGCAGCCAAUGCUUGACCACCCUUUCAGAUGAUAAAUUUUCCUCAAAUCCAACUUGAACCUCCCCUAGCACAACUAGAUGCCAUUACCUACUAUCCUAUCGGUAGUAACCUGUGGGAAGAGACCAGCUCCCACCUUAAUACAAUCUCCUAUCAGGUAGCUGCAGAGAGCCAUAAGGUCUCCCUUAAGCCUCCUCCAGAAUAAAUCACAGUACCCACAGCUGUUGCUCUUCAUAAAGUUUGUGCUUCAGGUGGAUUUAAUCCCAUUCACCACCAGUCUCUAAGCCUGGUCAUCUGGUGAGUUUUUUACCCAGCAAAGAGUACACCCCUCUAAGCCAUGAGCUACCACUUUCUCCAAGAAAAUGCCAUGGGAGAUGGUGUCAAAGGCCUUAUUGAUGUCUAAGCAGACUACAUCCAUAGUCUUUCCCUCAUCCACUAGGCAGGUCACCUGAUUACAGAAGGAGAUCAUGUUGGU